UAAGGAAUAUUGGACAAUGGGCGCAAGCCUGAUCCAGCCAUGCCGCGUGCAGGAUGAAGGCUCUAUGGGUCGUAAACUGCUUUUGUACGGGAAGAAACCCUCCUAUGUAUAGGGGGCUGACGGUACCGUAAGAAUAAGGAUCGGCUAACUCCGUGCCAGCAGCCGCGGUAAUACGGAGGAUCCAAGCGUUAUCCGGAUUUAUUGGGUUUAAAGGGUGCGUAGGCGGACUUGUAAGUCAGUGGUGAAAGCCUGCGGCUUAACUGCAGAACUGCCAUUGAUACUGCUGGUCUUGAGUAUAGUUGAGGUGGGCGGAAUGUGUCAUGUAGCGGUGAAAUGCUUAGAUAUGACACAGAACACCGAUUGCGAAGGCAGCUCGCUAAACUAUAACUGACGCUGAGGCACGAAAGCGUGGGUAGCAAACAGGAUUAGAUACCCCUGUAGUCC
rnacentral:rRNA from 1 species